CCCUUAGAUGUUCGGGGCCGCACGCGCGCUACACUGAAGGAAUCAGCACGUCUUUCUCCUUGUCCGAAAGGACUGGGUAACCCGCUGAACCUCCUUCGUGCUAGGGAUUGGGGCUUGUAAUUCUUCCCCAUGAACGAGGAAUUCCCAGUAAGCGCGAGUCAUAAGCUCGCGUUGAUUACGUCCCUGCCCUUUGUACACACCGCCCGUCACUACUACCGAUUGGAUGGUUUAGUGAGAUCCUCGGAUUGGUCCCGGCGCGGCCUCUGGUCGUGCCGGAGUGCCGAAAAGAAUGUCGAACUUGAUCAUCUAGAGGAAGUAAAAGUCGUAACA
rnacentral:rRNA from 1 species